GACGAACCGUGCGAACGUUGUUCGGAAUCACUGGGCUUAAAGGGCGCGUAGGCGGGCCGGCCAGUCGGAGGUGAAAUCCCCCAGCUCAACUGGGGAAGUGCCCCCGAUACUGCCGGCCUCGAGGGAGGUAGGGGCACGCGGAACUUCCGGUGGAGCGGUGAAAUGCGUAGAGAUCGGAAGGAACGCCGGUGGCGAAAGCGGCGUGCUGGGCCUCUUCUGACGCUGAGGCGCGAAAGCCAGGGGAGCGAACGGG
rnacentral:misc_RNA from 1 species